rnacentral:rRNA from 1 species
AUUGAACGCUGGCGGCAGGCCUAACACAUGCAAGUCGAGCGGAUGAAGGGAGCUUGCUCCUGGAUUCAGCGGCGGACGGGUGAGUAAUGCCUAGGAAUCUGCCUGGUAGUGGGGGAUAACGUCCGGAAACGGGCGCUAGUACCGCAUACGUCCUGAGGGAGAAAGUGGGGGAUCUUCGGACCUCACGCUAUCAGAUGAGCCUAGGUCGGAUUAGCUAGUUGGUGGGGUAAAGGCCUACCAAGGCGACGAUCCGUAACUGGUCUGAGAGGAUGAUCAGUCACACUGGAACUGAGACACGGUCCAGACUCCUACGGGAGGCAGCAGUGGGGAAUAUUGGACAAUGGGCGAAAGCCUGAUCCAGCCAUGCCGCGUGUGUGAAGAAGGUCUUCGGAUUGUAAAGCACUUUAAGUUGGGAGGAAGGGCAGUAAGUUGAUACCUUGCUGUUUUGACGUUACCAACAGAAUAAGCACCGGCUAACUUCGUG